UACGUAGGGUGCGAGCGUUAAUCGGAAUUACUGGGCGUAAAGCGUGCGUAGGUGGUUCGUUGUGUCUGUGGUGAAAGCCCCGGGCUUAACCUGGGAAUGGCCAUGGAAACUGGCGAGCUGGAGUGUGGCAGAGGGGGGUGGAAUUCCGCGUGUAGCAGUGAAAUGCGUAGAUAUCGGGAGGAACACCGGUGGCGAAGGCGGCAUUCUGGACUGCAACUGACACUGAAGAACGAAAGCCAGGGGAGCAAACGGG
rnacentral:rRNA from 1 species